rnacentral:piRNA from 1 species
CACUGAGGAUCCCUUUCAGGAUGCUG